GGUAGACCSUACGGACUUAAAAUCCGUUGGCUUUAUAGACCAUGAGGGUUCAAGUCCCUCUACCCCCA
rnacentral:tRNA from 1 species